GAUGAACGCUGGCGGCGUGCCUAAUACAUGCAAGUCGAGCGAACAGACGAGGAGCUUGCUCCUCUGACGUUAGCGGCGGACGGGUGAGUAACACGUGGAUAACCUACCUAUAAGACUGGGAUAACUUCGGGAAACCGGAGCUAAUACCGGAUAAUAUAUUGAACCGCAUGGUUCAAUAGUGAAAGACGGUUUUGCUGUCACUUAUAGAUGGAUCCGCGCCGCAUUAGCUAGUUGGUAAGGUAACGGCUUACAAAGGCAACGAUGCGUAGCCGACCUGAGAGGGUGAUCGGCCACACUGGAACUGAGACACGGUCCAGACUCCUACGGGAGGCAGCAGUAGGGACUCUUCCGCAAUGGGCGAAAGCCUGACGGAGCAACGCCGCGUGAGUGAUGAAGGUCUUCGGAUCGUAAAACUCUGUUAUUAGGGAAGAACAAAUGUGUAAGUAACUAUGCACGUCUUGACGGUACCUAAUCAGAAAGCCACGGCUAACUACGUG
rnacentral:rRNA from 1 species